GCGGCUGUCGUCUAACGGGCACAGGACUCCCCCGGAGAGGGGGCAACGCUGGUUCGAAUCCAGCCGGCCGCA
rnacentral:tRNA from 2 species